GGGGAGCAGCCCAGAGCCUGAAUCAGUGUGUGUGUUAGUGGAAGCGUCUGGAAAGGCGCGCGAUACAGGGUGACAGCCCCGUACACAAAAAUGCACAUACUGUGAGCUCGAUGAGUAGGGCGGGACACGUGGUAUCCUGUCUGAAUAUGGGGGGACCAUCCUCCAAGGCUAAAUACUCCUGACUGACCGAUAGUGAACCAGUACCGUGAGGGAAAGGCGAAAAGAACCCCGGCGAGGGGAGUGAAAAAGAACCUGAAACCGUGUACGUACAAGCAGUGGGAGCACGCUUAGGCGUGUGACUGCGUACCUUUUGUAUAAUGGGUCAGCGACUUAUAUUCUGUAGCAAGGUUAACCGAAUAGGGGAGCCGAAGGGAAACCGAGUCUUAACUGGGCGUUAAGUUGCAGGGUAUAGACCCGAAACCCGGUGAUCUAGCCAUGGGCAGGUUGAAGGUUGGGUAACACUAACUGGAGGACCGAACCG
rnacentral:rRNA from 1 species